rfam:Hordeum vulgare subsp. vulgare, WGS project CAJW01000000 data, contig: morex_contig_57973
GAUAUACUCUUUUCGUCCGGAAUUACUUGUAGCAUAAAUGGUAUAAAUGAAUGUAUCUAGAAAUGAAAUAUAUCUAGAUACAUCUAUUCCUAUGACAAGUAUUUUCGGAUGAAGGAAGUAGCAU